rnacentral:lncRNA from 1 species
GCCAAAGCCCAUGACCAACCUCUAAAAACCCUUGAUGAGUGCCUGCGCGUACUGCGCUGGGGGUUGUGUCUGCUCUUGCCUGAGGAAAUGUGUAAUUUGAAGUAUGCAAGAAGGUUCUCAAAAAACGUGGUCUGCGGACGAUGGACGAACUGACGGAAGGACGGAAGGACGGAAAGACGGCCGAUGGUGCGGUGAGUCUGCAAGCUGC